rnacentral:rRNA from 1 species
GAUGAACGCUAGCGGCAGGCCUAACACAUGCAAGUCGAGGGGUAACAGGGUAGCAAUAUCGCUGACAACCGGCGCACGGGUGAGUAACGCGUAUGCAACCUUCCUUUAACUGGGGGAUAGCCCGGAGAAAUUCGGAUUAAUACCCCAUAACAUUACAGAGGGGCAUCUCUUUGUAAUUAAAGCUCCGGCGGUUAAAGAUGGACAUGCGUACCAUUAGCUAGUUGGUGAGGUAACGGCUCACCAAGGCUACGAUGGUUAGGGGGUCUGAGAGGAUGAUCCCCCACACUGGUACUGAGACACGGACCAGACUCCUACGGGAGGCAG